GUAAGUUGCACGUUGGUCAAGCUUACCAGGCGACUCGCCGGCAUACUUAUUCGCCUAGUCACCUGGAAUCGGCGAGGGAUGACGAGGAGAUCGACGUCAUCGCGCUCACACGCGCUGUCCACAGCUGGAGCGAAGGCGAUUGCUUCUGGUGACCUGAAAAAAAAUCGGAUGUUGAGGAUGACGAGACGUUCGAAGACGCGAGGAAGAUUAUUCGAGAGUUUGCGGCAUGCCAAGAUAAUGCGAGUGCAUUUACCCCGCAUUGAUUGCCGCAAUUCGGUCGGCAAAUCGCUGACAUGGUACUCUUAUUUUAUUCAGUGAUCGAUUCCCAACGAUAAUCGUGGUUCAGUGCCUCCUCCUUUGCCUGGAGUCACGAAAGCCAAGUCCGAUAUAUGUAUGUACAUACCUUGCUUAUACCAUCGCAACUAUUUACAACGAUGAUGGAUCUUUCGUUACGUCAUCGGCACACAUUGACUCAGUCCUUACGGCACGCAUGCACAUUCUUUUGAUUGUACAAUUAUUUACAUCGACAUUAUUUAUCAUAAUUUAUUCGAGUCACGUGGCUCUCACUCUCUUCCUGCCAAUUAUACCUGCCGAUUGCGCAUAGUUUACCAUUAGAUUAAUCAAGCACCUUGAAAUCUAAAUAUAAUAUUGUACAAACAUAAAUAGCACAAAUGAGUAAAAAUUAGUAGAUAAUAAUAGUAAAGGCAAUACAUUAAAAAUAAAUAAAAGUAAAUUUCUUAUGUAAAGCAUUUCCGUGGUUCUUCCUAAAACUUUGAAUUCCUGAAAUCUUGUCUGAAUAAUUCUCCUAUAUUAAUUUAUAAUAUCAAUAAGAUGUAACGCACGUAAGAGUGUACAAGAGAAGAUCUGUAUCUGUGCAAAAAGGUAAGGAGGUCACCGGGAAUUCGUUGGAAAUCGCACAAGCCUCAAGACGGUGUAAUAAAAAUAAAUCAUCCGGUUUCUGUAAAUUAUCGUGAGAUCUAGUAGCGCCCAUAGAAUGUGUACGUAUAAUUGCUCGCGUGCUACUACAGCUCAAUCAUUUCUUUUCCUCGGCGUUUCUCGAUUUUCUCGCAGGAAAUCUCGCCCCUCCUUCUUGCUCCGACCUUUCAGCAUACAUCCUUUUUCAACGCAGAAGAAAUGACACGAUGCAAGUUAAGAGGAGCGGACCUCAUUCCACGGCGAGCAGGCAACUUGGGUGACAAUUCGUCGUGGGGUCGACCGGUGGUUGCGCAGCGGAUCGAUAUGGGGCCGCGGUGUCACAGGCAUAUAGGGCGAACCAGAAACACCCCUCGCUGGGCCAGAAAUUUCGGCACUCUUGACCCCGAAAAGUCGAACCGACGAACGUUACUGGAAAUAAUAAUAAUAAUAAUAACAAUGGUAAUAAAAAAAAGCAAAAUAUUCCGGAAAAGGUGAUAUUAGGGACGGUUGUAACGGAGAAUUUCAUUUCCUUCGUGACUCCUUUGUGAUCACAGAGUCUCUUUUUACGUCACAGCAGGGCGUGGGAGGAGAAAGGCCUCAGCAGGGAUGAUACGAAGGGGGAUGAAGGGAUGUUCCGGAGGCAGUCAGCUCUCUCUCGCGCGCGUCAAGCUUGGCGGGGGUUGUCUCUCCCCUCUCCGUGCUCGGCUAGCGAGCGGCAUGCCGAGCCGACGUGAUCGGUCGAUUAAUCGGAGGAAGUCAGACCGCCGCGGAUCGUCGCCGCGACGCCGUGCUCGUCGUCAGUUUGUCGCCGUCGUCACGCUUGUCACCGUUGUCGUCGUGUUGUCAUCCUGAAGAGAAAUCGUGGAAGCACUGCGUGUUCACGAGGAUGCCGCGAGAUCUGCACGAGUACAUCAACAAUGCCAGAACGUUUAUCAUUCUCUGAAUCAGAGACAGGUCGUCGCUGGCUUUGUGAGAAAUCGUCAAUAGGAUUCCUCAAGAUGUCACAAAACGAGGCAUUUGCUAGACAAACAUAUUCGUAAGAGACAGCAACAAAUAAGGAAGCGGAACGAACGCUGACCUGGCUACGCGGUGACCGCAAUAAAAAGUGAACGCGCGGACUUUCCACGUGCGCGUCGACGCCAAGGCGAAAGUGUAACGGCACUUCGAGCAAGACAUUCACCAAGAAUAUUACGCUUCAUCUCAUCUCAACGGAGAAGGAUCAGUCAGAGCAUACGUUAAUCUUGGUGCAACGAGGACGUAACAUGUAUCAAUGUGUUUCUGAUAUUUUCGGCUACCUCGUAUAGGCAAUUUUCACCUAAAAAAUGCCGAAUUGGCGAAUUAUCAACCAAAA